GACGAGCGCUGGCGGCGUGCUUAACACAUGCAAGUCGAACGGAAAGGCCCUGCUUUUGUGGGGUGCUCGAGUGGCGAACGGGUGAGUAACACGUGAGUAACCUGCCCUUGACUUUGGGAUAACUUCAGGAAACUGGGGCUAAUACCGGAUAGGAGCUCCUGCUGCAUGGUGGGGGUUGGAAAGUUUCGGCGGUUGGGGAUGGACUCGCGGCUUAUCAGCUUGUUGGUGGGGUAGUGGCUUACCAAGGCUUUGACGGGUAGCCGGCCUGAGAGGGCGACCGGCCACAUUGGGACUGAGAUACGGCCCAGACUCCUACGGGAGGCAGCAGUGGGGAAUAUUGCACAAUGGGCGGAAGCCUGAUGCAGCAACGCCGCGUGCGGGAUGACGGCCUUCGGGUUGUAAACCGCUUUCGCCUGUGACGAAGCGUGAGUGACGGUAAUGGGUAAAGAAGCACCGGCUAACUACGUG
rnacentral:rRNA from 1 species